GGCCUCGUAGCUCAGCUGGUAGAGCAUACGCGUACAAAGCGUAGGCGGUGUCCAUGCGUGGGUUCGAAUCCCACCGAGGCUA
rnacentral:tRNA from 1 species